UUUUUUUGUGGUUUAGUGGGUAAAUUUUUAAUUUAAUAGCCAAAAGGUCGAAGGUUCGAAUCCUUCUGGGAGAAAACUA